rnacentral:rRNA from 1 species
GCAAGUCGAGCGCACCCUUCGGGGCGAGCGGCGGACGGGUUAGUAACGCGUGGGAACAUACCCUUUUCUACGGAAUAGCCUCGGGAAACUGAGAGUAAUACCGUAUACGCCCUUCGGGGGAAAGAUUUAUCGGUGAAGGAUUGGCCCGCGUUAGAUUAGAUAGUUGGUGGGGUAAUGGCCUACCAAGUCUACGAUCUAUAGCUGGUUUGAGAGGAUGAUC